GACGAACGCUGGCGGCGUGCCUAAUACAUGCAAGUCGAGCGAAUGGAUUAAGAGCUUGCUCUUAUGAAGUUAGCGGCGGACGGGUGAGUAACACGUGGGUAACCUGCCCAUAAGACUGGGAUAACUCCGGGAAACCGGGGCUAAUACCGGAUAACAUUUUGAACCGCAUGGUUCGAAAUUGAAAGGCGGCUUCGGCUGUCACUUAUGGAUGGACCCGCGUCGCAUUAGCUAGUUAGUGAGGUAACGGCUCACCAAGGCAACGAUGCGUAGCCGACCUGAGAGGGUGAGCGGCCACACUGGGACUGAGACACGGCCCAGACUCCUACGGGAGGCAGCAGUAGGGAAUCUUCCGCAAUGGACGAAAGUCUGACGGAGCAACGCCGCGUGAGUGAUGAAGGCUUUCGGGUCGUAAAACUCUGUUGUUAGGGAAGAACAAGUGCUAGUUGAAUAAGCUGACACCUUGACGGUACCUAACCAGAAAGCCACGGCUAACUACGUGCCAGCAGCCGCGGUAA
rnacentral:rRNA from 1 species